rnacentral:rRNA from 1 species
UACAGAGGUCUCAAGCGUUGUUCGGAUUCAUUGGGCGUAAAGGGCGUGUAGGCGGCCUGCUAAGUCUGAUGUGAAAUCCCCUCGCUCAACGAGGGAACUGCGUCGGAUACUGGCAGACUCGAGUACCGGAGAGGAAGGUGGAAUUCCACGUGUAGCGGUGAAAUGCGUAGAGAUGUGGAGGAACACCGAUGGCGAAGGCAGCCUUCUGGGCCAAUACUGACGCUCAUGCACGAAAGCGUGGGGAGCAAACAGG